UCGCGGACGACGACAGCACAAAAGGGAAAUUGUAGCACACACAGAGAGAGAGACGCACAUACUGGCAAAGGCUUCGGCAGACAAUUAGAUUCCUCUCCUUCCCUCCCUCCUACACGCUCACACCUACGCCGGACAGCUCCCACGCGCCACACCUCUGAACUCUACUUGUUCGGGGCCUCGCCCCUUCUUUCCUCUACACAGGCUCACACACGCACACAUUCAAGCACACUCACUACGCCUCGCGAGGAUCCGGACACGCCCUAAGUCACCUCCUCCGAACCGUUUUUUUCCUUUGCUCUCUCCACUUCUUAUCGUGUAUCACAGGUGUGUUACGCGCCUCUUUUGUCCCCUCGCCUGCCCGUUCCCCCAUCUGCGUGACCGACACUCUUCAUGUGUGCUCUCCCUCCAUCUCACGGUGGCUGUGUACGUUCGAGUGAGUAUCAUCUUGCACUCUUCGUUGCUUCGCGUCCUUUUGCCGCCGCGUGAUUCCCUGCACGGUGCGAGCUGUCCUCGACUUUGUUUUGCUUUUGUGCGUGCCUCGGGGCUUGCCAGCUACCUUUCCCUCCCCUCCGUAUCUCGCAUAGUCGUGGGGGCUGACGUCGACGCCCUGCGGUGGCGUGCGAGGAUGGCGUCCAACGCAGCCGCCAACGGUAGCUUUGGCUCCUCCGCCAAUGCAGUGCAGCUCGUCUCAACGCAGCGAGGCCGAAAGGUGUACUGCGUGCGAGGGCAGAGCUUCGACAUUGAUGACAACUACACCGUGACGAGCGUGAUCGGGCACGGCGCAUACGGUGUGGUGUGCGCUGCGUUAGACGACCGCACGUUCCAAGAGGUGGCAAUAAAGCGCGUGAGUCGCGUGUUUGAAGACUUGAUCGAUGGCCGCCGCAUAUGGCGCGAGAUACUCCUUCUGCGCAUCCUUAAAGAGUGUGGGUGUCGCAACGUUCUCCGGCUGAUUCGUGUGCUGCCACCGCGAGACCCCAUCAUGGAGUUUCGUGACCUGUACUUGGUGACGGACCUCUAUGACAUUGAUCUUUUCUCUAUCAUUCGUCAGAACAAGUGCGAGUCAAUAGACCUGUUGCGGCGCAUCAGCGUUCGUGUGCUUCGGUGUCUGGCGGACAUGCACUCUAUGGGCAUAGUGCAUCGUGACAUCAAGCCCAGCAAUAUUCUGUUGCGUGACGAGAAGAAUGCCGAGGAGGCGAUAGUAUGCGACUUUGGUUUAGCGCGCGCCGGCCUGCACAGAUUGAGUGAGCCGCUAGACUUGACCGACUACGUCGUCACCCGGUGGUACCGCCCACCGGAGCUGUUGCUCAUGUGUCCGUACAGCUACCCGAUCGACAUUUGGGCGGUCGGCUGCGUCAUGGCCGAGUACGCUAUGCAGCGACCAUUGUUCGCCGGUCGCGACUAUAUUCACCAGCUUCAGUUUGUGCUCUCUAGCAUUCCAAUCACUGGGGUCGACUUCAUCGAACGUAGCAGUAGCAGCUCCGGACUGGCCAAUAUGAACGAAAUUGCCAAGAAGUACAAGGGCACCCGUCCGCUGCCGCAGCUGCUGUCGAAGCUGCCAAAGGAUGGGCUGGAACUGGUCACGGAAAUGCUCGCCUUCGAGCCGAACAAGCGCAUUACCGCGCAGGAGGCGCUCAAGCACCCGUUCUUCAGCAGCGUUGGUGGACCGGAUUGCAAGUCCUACCCAGCCCCUCCCGAGCUAGACCUCGGCUUCGACAUGCACGCGGAGGUUUCCGAGUGCCAGCUGCGCCGCGCCAUCUGGGACGAGUUGCAGUAUUACAGAAAGUAGUAGUGCAUCGUCAGCAGUAUGCCCUAGGCAGACGCACUCACACAUACUUGCACACACACACACACACACACACACACACACACACACACGCAUGCGCUAACAAGCUCGCGCCGUUAACAACGAAGAGAGGCACACCUGCGUUUUUCAUGAUGCGCGCAUGCGUGUGCGCGUGUGUGUUGGAAGAGGGGUGGGUGGGGUGGAGGCACGCCGGGCCUUCUCUUUUUCCUUUUCUCGCUGUUUGCACAACACCGUUCAAGAGGCCAAUCUGAUGCGGUGUGGACGCGUGCCACGGAGGAAGAAGAGUGGCACUCGCGGUGUCGUGCUGCUUCGUAACGCAGACUCGCGUUGCAUGCCCGCUUGCCUUUUUCCUCCUUUUCGAUCCUCCCUUUUGGUGGCCAUGCUCACACUGGGCGAAAAGAGGGCAGCACGGAUGGGUGAACGCGGAAGGAGCGCUCGCAGGCACACGCACGCAAGCCCAGCCUGUGAUCUGCUCGCCUCAUGCGCCCACCACCGUCAUGCUUCUCACCCAUUCAGCUGCGUUUCCUGCUGUUUGUUUCUCUGCAGCUACGAGGAAAGGCUGUGGCAUAAUGUCGAUGUCGGAGUUGGCAAUUGAGUGGUGGCGACGGUGGUGGCAUGUGGAUGACGUGUGUGUGUGUGCAUGUGUGUACAUACCUGAGAGAAAGGGAGGUGAGGUAUGCGAAAUGGCUGGAAGCAUGCCGUCUGCCUCUCCCGUAUCCACUGUGUGACAGCGAAGUUGAAACGCUCCGUUGUGUGAUGUUUGAUUUCGUUGCUGCUGGGUCGUCGGCGGCUCCUUUUGUGUGGGUAUCUUACUCUCCUUGGGAUGCUAAAGCUUACGUGCCUCUCUCUCUCUCCCUGCCUACCUCUCCGCGCGCCUGUGUCGAGGGGCGGAAACGAAUGCGGAAAGGAGAGAUGGCCAGGAGAUUCGGGGAAGAAACAAAAAAAGAAGGCCCUAAGCGCACACAUAGACAGACAGUGAGACACACAUCCUCUGUCGUCGGCGGCCUUGUUUGGUCCCUGUAGAUUCUUCGAAUGAAGCUGAGGGGCGCAACCUUCACACACAAAUACACAGGUAUGUUCGUCAACAACACGCAAAGUAAAAACGAGGAGGGCACGCCGGUGAAGGAGGCGGCUGAUUGUUUCCGCUGUCUCUUACUCUCCCUCCCGCUCUCAUGUAGUCGCUGCACAGAGCGCCGGAACUACUGGAAUAAGGUGCCUUGCGACGACAGUCACUGCAGGUGUGCCUUUAGAUGAACUGGGGGGGGGUGAAAAGGGAUUGCAUGAUGGCGUUGGCUCGUAUGGCCGCAUGGCUCUGCCGUCGCAUGGUGUCGCAG
rnacentral:misc_RNA from 1 species